UAUCUACGAUAUACAAGUAUAAUAUAUCGUAGAUAAAACGGAAAACGAUCGUUUAAAAUUUGAAUGUUUUUCAGGUAAUCAACAAAAUAUCUGAACGAACAGACAAGCAAAAUAAUUAUAUACCGAAUAUUAUUGUAAAAUAUAUCUUAAAAAUCCUUUCAAAUGACUGUAAUAUCAGGCAACAUGCAACAAAUAGUCUCAGAAAUAUCGAUGCUUUAUUGUUUUGAACAGUCGCUAUGUUGUAAACGAAACCACUUAGCAUUUAUAAAACGAAUAGACAAUUUAUUUAUCUUAAAUAAUAAGGAAUGUUCCUAUAAAGUUUGGAUUCUCUACAAUGUUCGAUUCUGGAGAUAUCUUGUGAAUGUACGGCAGACAGACAAAGUGAAUGCAUGAAAAUAAUUGUUUGAGAAAAAAAAAAAAAAAAAACGAUUUAAAGAUACAAAAUAUUCAAAUCUGAAUUAAAACUUACUAAUUAUUUGCAUAACACAGGAAGUAUACAGAAUCAUUGAAAUCAAUACAACAUCCACUUUCAAUAAUUAAACUGCAAACGUGCUUUCUUAAAACAACAACCACGACAUCAAACACGAGUCAGUCGAUUAACGAUGUUGGAGAAAUCCAACAGAAAUAAUGUCCCUGAGGUUUUAUCUCCAUUAUGAUAUAUUAGAUAACGUAAGAUGUCUCUCUCGGUUUGAUUGAAACACCGUUAUUUUAUUUUUUUGAAACAUUUUGUCAAUAUUGUUACUUCUCUGAAUAAAUUCCGAAUAUAGGUCGUUUUUACAAUUUAAUCUCUAAAUGUUAAUCAAUAUAAUAUUAAGCAAUAAC
rnacentral:lncRNA from 1 species